UACGUAGGUGGCAAGCGUUGUCCGGAAUUACUGGGCGUAAAGGGCGUGUAGGCGGCUUUUUAAGUCAGGCGUGAAAUCUCUGGGCUUAACCCAGAAAUUGCGUUUGAAACUGGAAGGCUUGAGGAUCGGAGAGGGUAGUGGAAUUCCCAGUGUAGCGGUGAAAUGCGUAGAUAUUGGGAGGAACACCAGUGGCGAAGGCGACUGCCUGGACGACACCUGACGCUGAGGCGCGAAAGCCAGGGGAGCAAACGGG
rnacentral:rRNA from 1 species